AUGGGGCUCCUCGACCAGCUCUGGGACGAGACUGUCGCCGGCCCGCGGCCGGACCACGGCCUCGGCAGGCUCCGCAAGUACUCCUCCUUCUCGCCCUCGACCGCGGCGGCCGCGGACGUCGCGCCGGCGGUGACCCACAGCAUCACUAUCGCCCGGCCGCCAUCUCUCUCGGUGCCAUCCGGCGAAUCAAGCUCCGUGCCGCCGUCCCCGGCCAGCGCGCCGGACUCCCCGUUCGCAGCAGCUACCAGUAGCAUACGGAAAGUGGACGGAUGGAGGGCGUUCCGCCGGAAAUCCAAGAUGGCCAACGUCGACGUCGUCCGGGCGGAGGCGACCGUCGGGCCCAGGAGCCCCACCGUGUACGACUGGGUGGUGAUCAGUUCAUUGGACCGAUGA
rnacentral:rRNA from 1 species